rnacentral:misc_RNA from 1 species
UCGAGUCGCCUGUGGUACCGGAAGUCCCGAACGCUUUGUGCAGCGCCGCGACGAGGCGACGGCGCGCGGGGGGGACCCCCUCCCCUUCGUCGUCCCUCCCCCGGCGCCCCCCGCCCGUGCGGUUGCUCGCGAGAGCUCUCGCCCGGGCCAACUCUCAACCCCGGCGCGGAAAGCGCCAAGGAAAACUCGAAACGAUCGCCCGGUUCCCCCCCCCGCCCGGGGGGCGACGCGCGGGAGGGGUCUCCCCGGCGUCCCUCUUACCCGAAACGACUCUCGGAAAAGGAUAUCUCAAGCUCUCUCCUUGAUGAAGAAUUGUAGAGAAAUGCGAUACUUGGUGUGAAUUGAAGAAUCCCUGCGAACCAUCGAGUCUUUGAACACGGGUUGCCCGCCAGGCCAUUAGGCCGAGGGUCACGCCUGCCUGGGUCUGGCGCGCGCCGGAGACUGCCCUGCUCCGCGCGGGGCGGCGGAUAUUGUCCCCCCGUUUCCUCCGGGCGCGGCCGGCCCAAACGCGGGUCCUCGGCGAGGGUGUCG